GACGAACGCUGGCGGCGUGCUUAACACAUGCAAGUCGAACGAUGAAGCUGGAGCUUGCUCCGGUGGAUUAGUGGCGAACGGGUGAGUAACACGUGAGCAAUCUGCCCUUGACUCUGGGAUAACUGCGGGAAACUGUAGCUAAUACCGGAUACGACACCUUCGGGCAUCCGAUGGGUGUGGAAAGAAUUUCGGUCAAGGAUGAGCUCGCGGCCUAUCAGCUAGUUGGUGAGGUAGCGGCUCACCAAGGCGACGACGGGUAGCCGGCCUGAGAGGGUGACCGGCCACACUGGGACUGAGACACGGCCCAGACUCCUACGGGAGGCAGCAGUGGGGAAUAUUGCACAAUGGGCGCAAGCCUGAUGCAGCAACGCCGCGUGAGGGACGAAGGCCUUCGGGUUGUAAACCUCUUUUAGCAGGGAAGAAGCGAAAGUGACGGUACCUGCAGAAAAAGCACCGGCUAACUACGUGCCAGCCGCCGCUGUAA
rnacentral:rRNA from 1 species